rnacentral:rRNA from 1 species
ACGAACGCUGGCGGCGUGCCUAAUACAUGCAAGUCGAACGGUCUUUCUAUGGAAGCUUGCUUCCACUGAGAAGAUAGUGGCGAACGGGUGAGUAACACGUGGGUAACCUGCCCAUAAGAGGGGGGAUAACAUCCGGAAACGGGUGCUAAUACCGCAUAGUUUUCUUGAUCGCAUGAUUGAGAAAGGAAAGACGGCCUUUGUGCUGUCGCUUAUGGAUGGACCCGCGGCGUAUUAGUUAGUUGGUGAGGUAACGGCUCACCAAGACGAUGAUACGUAGCCGACCUGAGAGGGUGAUCGGCCACAUUGGGACUGAGACACGGCCCAAACUCCUACGGGAGGCAGCAGUAGGGAAUCUUCCGCAAUGGACGAAAGUCUGACGGAGCAACGCCGCGUGAGUGAAGAAGGUUUUCGGAAUCGUAAAACUCUGUUGUCAGAGAAGAACAAGUUGGAGAGUAACUGCUCCAGCCUUGACGGUAUCUGACCAGAAAGCCACGGCUAACUACGUGCCAGCAGCAGC